CCUACGGGCGGCUGCAGUGGGGAAUAUUGGACAAUGGGCGAAAGCCUGAUCCAGCCAUGCCGCGUGUGUGAAGAAGGCCUUCGGGUUGUAAAGCACUUUCAGUGGGGAAGAAAGCCUUGGGGCUAAUACCCUCGAGGAAGGACAUCACCCACAGAAGAAGCACCGGCUAACUCCGUGCCAGCAGCCGCGGUAAUACGGAGGGUGCGAGCGUUAAUCGGAAUUACUGGGCGUAAAGCGCGCGUAGGCGGUCUGAUAAGCCGGUUGUGAAAGCCCCGGGCUCAACCUGGGAACGGCAUCCGGAACUGUCAGGCUAGAGUGCAGGAGAGGAAGGUAGAAUUCCCGGUGUAGCGGUGAAAUGCGUAGAGAUCGGGAGGAAUACCAGUGGCGAAGGCGGCCUUCUGGACUGACACUGACGCUGAGGUGCGAAAGCGUGGGUAGCAAACAGGAUUAGAUACCCUAGUAGUC
rnacentral:rRNA from 1 species